GGACAGGGGGUGACAACAUACAGUGAGGGUGGGGGCAGGCCAUGUCCUGGCUUCAUGAGACAGGCUAAUGUUGUUUGCAUGCCCAGCUAUUUACAAUCAGGAGACUGAACUGUGACUCUGCAGAGGCUUAUACCAGCUAUAUACAGGAGCCCUUUUUCUUGUAUGCUUUGCCCACUGUAGACACUCACGACUGUAGGGAUCCCAGGUAGGAAGGUAAUGAGGGAGACUAGGCUCCAUCUAGCAACCAUAUGUGCAGAAAUGACAAAGAAAACAGGACCUAGAGUUUGGAGAGAGGGUAGGUGGGGUUCUUCUGACUUCUCAGAGUACAGAGUCACAUGGUUUCCCAGAAAGCAAGGUUCACAGGACACAUGCAUAUGGACAUGAACACAAGAAGAGUCUCGAUCAUAAGGCUGGGCCUCCAGGAACCUGAGGAAAGCUGCCCAGCCAUGCCUCAUGGAGAGUGAAUGUUUAAAAAUCAGAAGGUCAUUCAAGACUGAGGACAUCUCCGGAACCAGGUUUUAAGGCUGUCCUCUUAGCGGGUGGGUUUUGUCCACUCUUCAGCUCCACCGCUGACAUUAUCAGACUUUUUCCUGUAGGCACCAGAGUCACGGGGCCUAUGACAAUGUUUCAGAUCUUGAAAAUACAUUAUGAGUCCAAAAUAUGAAACAAGAACUAUAAAAAUCCCAUUGAUACACAUUUUAUUAGUAUACCCAAAGUUCAUUAAUUUAAUAUUUGUGCUGGGUGUGGUGGCUUUACACCUGUAAUCUCGGUGCUUUGGGAGGCCAAGGUUGGAGGACUGCUUGAAGCCAGGAGUUUGAGACCUGCCUGGGCGACACAGGGAGACCCCACAUCUCUACAAAAAAUAAAGAUAAAAAUUAGCUGGGCGCA
rnacentral:lncRNA from 10 species